AGGCAGGUUCUUUGCAAAAUGAUACGUCCUUUCUAUCAUUUUCGGCGGUGUCGGCUGUUCGAGUUGUUCGCCUGCGUGAAGGUCUAAUGUACUUUUCGAGUGGCUUUAUUUCGGUGCAGAGUAUCCAGAAGUCAUUGUGCCUACCAAUCCCUGCGUAAGGAGCUGCUUCUUUCUCUGAGGUGGCAUGAUGAAAGAAGUUUCCACGCCUUGAAUCUGAUCAACCAACUUAGCCCUGAUUGCAGUCGACUAAGCCAAACCAAGGGCUGGAUAGCGCACGGAUCCUCAUAGCCCCGAACCUCUACACUACACAAAUCAAAUGUAGCAUAAAAGUAUCGAGCUGUUCUUGUUAAAAAAGCAUGCAUACGUGGCUUGUAAUGAACAAAACGUGAGCAGCCUUUUGUAAAGUCUACAGCAGAUCUUAC
rnacentral:lncRNA from 1 species